rnacentral:piRNA from 1 species
UUUGAGACCAUUGCAGAACACAGUCCCAAA